GUGUGGACAGCCCACUCCAAGGGAAGAGUCAGGGGAGAAGGAACACAAGACUCCGGAGGCAUGCCAGCAUAUAAAACCACUUGGGACAGAACUGGAGUCAGAGAUACCAAUUUGGGAAGGAGAAGGAUCUAGUGACAGAAACUUGGGAGUGCUCAGCGAACACUUUGCCUCAUUGGUUCCAGCCUCAGCUUCCAGUCUGGACAUGGAGCACAAUAACAGUGGGCCCACUGCUCUCCGAAUUCAUGCGCGCACUUGAAGGGAGUGUCUGGUGCAGGCAUGCAGGGAGGAAGAAUGACUCUGAGCUUGACCAUUCAACUUCGAAACUUUAACAUCAAUGGAUCAACACACACUGGUGUACAGUCUGCUAUGCAUGCAGCCCUGUGCUAGGCAAAAGAAGUAUCAGACCAGGAACUGACAGCCUCACUACAACAGGAAGAGACGCUUCACACAAUAAGCGUUUCAUUCAACCAGGCUGGACCUGUGCUUAUUGAGUUGAACAUCACUGAGCACAAAAUGCAAGCCAGACACCAUAAGAGCUGUAAGGAUGAUAAAGAUGUCUUUCUACC
rnacentral:antisense_RNA from 1 species